GCCGGGAUGGCAGAGUGGAUAAUGCGCAGGCCUUGAGAAGCGCAAGAAAGCCUGUGGUCCUGUUGGACCACAUGGGUUCGAAUCCCAUUCCCGGCG
rnacentral:tRNA from 1 species